AGAGCGUGGGUUUCAGCGAGUUCUACGUGCCAGCUCCUGAGGAUCUUGCUUGUCCAAACCCAGAAGAAAGUGCAUGAAGCCAGGGAACAUCCGCCAUGCUCCAAACAACUUGGCCUCAGAUACUUUGGGGAUUCUAGUAGCCCUUAGGUUUGAUGACUUCAGAGGAGAGUUUUGCAAUCACCAGCCUCCAGAAAUACUGUAGCGUUUCCAUUCCCCAAACCUGCUCUGAUCUCCCACCUGGAGAGAGGGGAAGCACCAUGGGGCCCAGAUCCCUGGGACACCGAGAUUCUGAGAGGCAUCAGUCAAGGUGGUGAGUCCUGGAUCAAAAAUGAAGGGCUAGUUAUAAAGCAGGAAGCCUCUGAAGAAACAGAGUUGCACAGAAUGCCAGUAGGAGGACUUCUCAGGAACGUUUCUCAGCACUUUGAUUUUAAAAGGAAGGCACUGAAGCAGACUUUCAAUCUAAAUCCAAAUCUGAUACUUCGAGGUGGAAUGAAGUUCUAUGAAUGUAAAGAAUGUGGGAAAAUCUUCCGAUAUA
rnacentral:sRNA from 1 species